UGCCAGCAGCCGCGGUAAUACGGAGGGGGCUAGCGUUGUUCGGAAUUACUGGGCGUAAAGCGCGCGUAGGCGGAUUGUUAAGCUAGAUGUGAAAGCCCCGGGCUCAACCUGGGAUGGUCAUUUAGAACUGGCAGACUAGAGUCUUGGAGAGGGGAGUGGAAUUCCAGGUGUAGCGGUGAAAUGCGUAGAUAUCUGGAGGAACAUCAGUGGCGAAGGCGGCUCCCUGGCCAAAGACUGACGCUCAUGUGCGAAAGUGUGGGUAGCGAACAGGAUUAGAUA
rnacentral:rRNA from 1 species